rnacentral:lncRNA from 1 species
UAAGGAAAGAGAAGAGGAGGAAAAAAAGGAAAAGGAAUAUAUGCACCUAAAAUCAUGCCUAGAAUAAAUGAAGCAAUAAUUACACCCUUAAUUUGAAUUAUAGUACAUAAAUUGAAAUUUGGUAUGCUUAAAUGAAAAUCCCUUUAAAGAAUUCAACAAUGAUUAAUUGCAACUCAUAAUUGAACCAUUACACUAAAGCAUCACUAUCCAAUUCACAAGCUAACGUUAAAUGGCAUAGAUAAAAGGCAAGUGUGAAAUCAAUUAACAACUGAUAUUAGGAGUUAAUCAAUCCAAAAAAAAAACAAAUUGCUUAAUUAAAAAAAAUAUAUUGUUAUCUUAGCAUGCAUCUUCCCGAAAAAAUCAGUAGUUCAACGGUGAACUAUGUUUCCACAAAGGACCCCAACGUCCCAAACUUAAAGGGCUUAAAACUUCUGAUGAGCAAAACUAAACAAAAUUUCAGCUCCAACAUCACGUCUAGGUGAAUAAAAAUCAGUCAUAAUUAAGAAAUGAACAUGUUCCACCUGAUAUCAGUACUACUGAUCACUAACACACCCUCAAAGCUUUGAAUACUACAUAAUAACUCAUGCCCAGAAAUGUUUUGUAAAGAAAAGGAAACUGAACAACAAAAUAACUUCAACCCAGUUUCUUGUCACUUAAAUUGCACAAUGAGAAAUAAGAUCUGCGCAGUGGCUCACUUGACACACUCUAACACAGGGCAAGCAUUGACUCUACAGUAUGCUUAUUACAAAUCCAAUUUAAACUCAAAGUCUUCAAGCACAAAUUCACAUUAAGCAUACUGAGAAAGGUAAUUGAUACUAUGAGCUAAAAAUAAGUUAAGGGGACAACACAUUCUGAAAAAGAAAAGUAGGAUCUUCAUUUAUCUUCAAUAAAAUUAUCCCAUGAUCUAUUUUACAUGCUUAAAUCAAGGAUGUGUACCUGACAACAGCAAAGAAAAUAAGGAGGAGGAGUCAGCAGCAAUAGAACAAUGUCAGUUGCAGUGUGAGCCCAGAAAUAAUCAAGGGAAAACUAGCUUUGAGGCAGGUUCAAACCAACAGAAAUCCCAAACAAUAUUCAGCAACCAAAAGACAACCAAAACUGAAUCAAAAAUUCUUGAAAACCAACCAAAAUCAAGUCAUUUUAACCCCUAAUUAUCCAGAAAUGAUUUCAGAAGUAGGAGCCUAAAAACCACCAAUUUUCUCAAUGGAACAGUGUGUUACUAACUAUUUUCAAUCGCUUGGUGUUUUUUCUGAUUUUCUAGCUUGUAAAAUCUGCAUCUAGCUGCAAGUAACUAUGCCUUUAUGGGCAAGUUACUAGGGCAGCCUUAGGGGUUUUGUUUUUUUAUUUUAGACCUUUUUUAAUUUUCCUUUUUGCUAGUUAGUCCCUUAUUUUAUGACUUGCUAGCCAAGUUAGGCUGAUUUCAGCUUUCUAGAAAGCUUCCUAAGUGGAUACUAAGAGACUCCUUAUGUCCUUUAUCCAAAAUAACCCUUUAUUACCCUGAAAUUUACUUUAUACUCAAAUAGGCUGGGGUCAAUUUGACCCAAGGUUCCAAUUCAAUAGAAACCCAGCCCAAAACCAAACUUAGGGGUAUAAAUCUCAAGCCCAAAUACAAUCAAACCAACUUUCUGAAUUAAAAGUGGAAAUAAGAAGAAACAGAAGCAAUUCUAGCAAAAAUUUUCACGGAAUCCACUUAAUGCAAUUAACACUUAAUGAAAUGAAAUACAUUACUAACAAAUUAUUUAAGUUAAUUAAAGAAAGGAAAGUUAAUCAUGCAUGUAAAGAACAGUUCUGAAAUUAGGGAAGCAACAUAGCCUAAAAGAUAAAGGCAAAACAUGUGACAAUGCAAGGUAAAAACAAAGAGAAAAGUAAAGAAAAAUGUAACAGAAGAAAACUGAAGAAGGAAUACCCGUGGGGCUCCGAACGGACUUGAAAACACUUGAAGAGAUCCUUCGAUUCUUUAACCAUAUUAGACUUUAAUCUUGUGUUUUCGUGUGAAAACACACGACUCAAGUUUAAUAUAGUCUAACAAUCCUCACAAGCCUGUUGAAUUUGAAAUCGUAAAAUUAGGGCUCCUUUCUGAUUCAACAUUCGAGCCAUUGGAUGGGGAUUCGAUGGAAAACAAAUAGGGAUAUGGGGUGAGGGAGAGAAGAGGGUUCAGGGGUGUGAUUUUAGUGGAGUUUAGAGAGGUAAGGUUUUUUUCAAUCAGAUCUUCAUUCGAAGAUUUGAACAGUUCGAGCUUGAUUCGAGGGAAAGUGUUUGCAGAUUUGGUAUGUGAGGGUGGAUGAGAGUGUGGGGUGUAUUUUUGGAGUUGAUCGAAAGCAGCGCCGCCAUGGUCUGGUUGAGCAUUUAGGAGCGCCUGUCGCUAGGGUUUCAGAGAGACGGGUUGUGAGAGAGAUGAGUGAGGGGGUAGGGGGUGCAUUUGGACAAUUAUGUACUCCGAAGACCUCACUUCCCAACCAUGGAUGAGGAAAACCUCGACGGCCCAGAUUCAUUAUAACAUA